CUAAUAACGAUCUCGUAGGACCCAAAAAGUAGCAGCCUCAAUGGUUAGACUUGGAGGCACCGCGACAAGGAGUAGGUGGAUGGGUCUCAGACUUGGACUCGGUGGGAUCUAAGGAGGCAUAUCCUGCUGUUGGGUGGGGGGAUAGCAUGACAGCAGGGAAGGGGGAAGGAUGACAGUGACGAGGAGGAUAACGGGCAGGAGAAUAAUCGAGUAACUACUGGCGAUUGCUAAAUUCGUCGCUGGUAAGUGACAAUAAGAAAUCGAGUGGCGAUCAGAAGAAGUGUUGCUG
rnacentral:lncRNA from 1 species